GUUUGUUUGGAGUUAUAAAGAAUUUAACCUGCCCCCUGAUUAAUUAUUAUUAAAGGGCCGCAGUAUUAUAACUGUGCAAAGGUAGCAUAAUCAUUAGGUUUUUAAUUGAAAUCUCGUAUGAAUGGUUGGACAAAAGAAAGACUCUCUUUAUAUUAAGUUUUGAAUUUAACUUUUAAGUGAAAAGGCUUAAAUAUUCUAAAGGGACGAUAAGACCCUAUAAAACUUUACAUUGUCAUUAAUUUUGAUUGAAUUUAUGAAAUAAAAAUUUUAUUUGAUUAUUUGUUAUGUUGGGGAGACAUAAGUAAAAUAUUUUUUUAACUGCUUGAUAGUUAUACAAUUAUUAGUGAAUAAGUAGAAGAUCCUUUUUAAGAUUAGUAGAUUAAGUUACUUUAGGGAUAACAGUGUAAUUUCUUUUGAGAGUUCUUAUCGAAAAAGAAGGUUGCAACCUCGAUGUUGAAUUAAAAUAUCUAUAUAAUGGAGAGGUUAUAUAAGAAGGUCUGUUCGACCUUGAAAAUUUUACAUGAUUUGAGUUCAAACCGGUGUGAG
rnacentral:rRNA from 1 species